UCCUGAUUCCUGAUUGCAGUUUUUCGUUAGACAUGAUUACCACGUUAAUUAUCUUUAAUUUACAUACGGCUGAGGGGUAGAAGUUUCUUCUCUUAUACAAGCAUUAACCAUGCUCUUCCUGAUGCUUAGUGAAGUAUCGGUUACUUUACAUUUAUCUAAUAACUUCAUCAGCGAAGUAAUUCAUUUAUAUGCAGGCCAUUGACCCAAGAACACGCAUGGUUUUGUUCAAGAUGUUGAACAGUGGUGUUUUUAAUAAUAUAAAUGGUUGCAUUUCUACAGGAAAAGAGGCAAAUGUCUAUCAUGCAACAAAGAUAGAUGGCCAGGAGCUAGCAAUCAAAGUCUAUAAAACCUCUGUCCUUGUCUUUAAGGAUAGAGACAGAUAUGUUCAAGGAGAUUAUC